ACCACAAAAGGAAGGAUUGAUUUCAGAGGUUAUAGUACCAACAGUUAAGGAAUUAGGGGCCAAAAAUAAGCAUUUUUAUACGACCGCAAAAUUUUUUUUGGGAUCGUAUAAUGGUAUGAUGUCGUCGUCGUCUGUGUCGUCGUCUGCGUCGUCGUCCGAAGACACAUUGGUUUCCGGACAAUAACUUUAGGUUAAGUGAAUGGAUCUUGAUGAAAUUUAAGAAGGUUCAAUACCACAAAAGGAAGGUUGGGAUUGAUUUUGGGGAUGAUGGUCCCAACCGUUUAGGAAUUAAGGGCCCCAAAAGGGGCCCAAAACAAGCAUUUUUCUAGUUUCAGGAUAAUAACUUGUGUAUAAGUAUUUCAAUUGCUCUGAAAUUGUACCACAAUGUUUAAUACCACAAGUAGAAGGUUGGGAUUCAUUUUAGGGGUUAUGAGGCCAACAGUUAAGGAAUUAAGGGCCAAAAACGAGCAUUUUUCUAGUUUCCAGACAAUAACUUGUGUGUAAGUGUAUGGAUCCCUCUGACAUUGUACCACAAGGUCCAUAUAACUACUGGAAGGCUGGGAUGGAGUUUUGGGUGAAUUGCCCCAAACAUGUAGGAAUUAGGGGCCAAAAAAAGGGCCAAAAACAAGCAUUUUUCUAGUUUCCAGACAAUAACUUGUGCGUAAGUGUAUGGAUCUCUCUGAAAUUGUACUACAAGGUUCCAUAUCACAAAGGAAAAGCUGGGUUUGAUAUUGAGGGUAAUUGCCCUAAACGUUUAGGAAUUUGGGGCCAAAAGGGGCAACAAAAAAACAAGCAUUUUUCUAGUUUCCAGACAAUAACUUGUGUUUAAGUGUAUGGAUCUCUCUGAAAUUGUACCACAAAGGGAAGGCUGGGAUUGAGUUUGGGGGUGAUGAAUCAUAAGGGGGUUCAAAAAAUUGGGGUUUCCUUUUUUUCCUUUUUUUUCUUUAAAAUUUUCCAUUUUAAAUUGGUUAUUUCUGAUUUAUAUAUAAAAGCAAAUAAUAAUGAUAUGGUUUGAAUAGGUAAAUUAAAAUUUUUAAGUUCUUAGACCACAUUCAUUCUGUGUCAGAAACCUAUGCUGUGUCAAAUAUUUAAUCACAAUCCAAAUUCAGUGCUGUAUCAAGCUUGAAUGUUGUGUCCAUACUUGCCCCAACUGUUCAGGGUUCGACCUCUGCGGUCGUAUCAAGCUGCGCCCAGCGGAGCAUUUUAUUGAAAGUAUAAUAGGAAAAAAUGUAUAUUUUAUAUAUAUUAUAAAUAUAUCAGUCUGAAAUAGGAAAGAUUUCAUAUUAGUCCAUUUUUCUUGAAAAUCGUCACCUAUUUCGAUUUUUCUUGAUUUCAUAUGUGGCACCACCCCACGCUUAUUAAAAUUGUGUUUGCGAAAAGUAAUGAAUAUGGUGUAUUUAAAAUGGUUCAGCACAAAUAUUUGUGGGCGAGGUGUGGCAACACUGUAAAUUUUUCAGAAAACUGUCAAAAAUCUUUGCCAAAUUAAGUAGUUGUUUUUACUGAAACAAUUGGACAUUUUAACAUAUGUUUUUAGGCAGUUAAGCUGCCUUAUGCUACCGCCCUAGAUUUGUGUUCUUCCCACUGAAUGGUGAAAAAAGUGUUGUUGUUAUUAUCUAGCUGGCUAAUAUGUUAUUAAUAACUAAUUGGGCACUUUUUUCGUACUAUCAAUUCUGGAAUACAAAAAAUAUGACCAGAAAAACCUUAAAUGAUCGUCGAACAACCCAAAACUUUCGAAGUUGCACAUAGGAAGUAGUGCUCAAUAGAAAUCCUUAUGUAAUUUAUUUUUCCCUGUACUUUUGGCUAAGAUGUCAAAGAACAAUUGUAUGAAAUAUUUAAUCGCCGAAAAUCUCUAAAGACAAGUUGUUUACAUUUCCCAAAUGGCAAAUGUCGUAGGAAUAUUGUUUGUCGGCACUACGUAUUACAGUAGUCUAAGUUGGCGGCAAUUUUAACUUAGAAGACGAAAUUUACGUACCGUUUAAAUUUGGAGGAUUCUGAUGAUAGAAGGGUAAUUAUUGUUAAUCAUGAUAUUCUUUUUGUUUGAGAUGAGUGUUAAUAAAUUGUGUAUUCACAUUUGAA